rnacentral:rRNA from 1 species
UUAGUGACAAGAAAUAUCGGUGUAAGACAUUUGUUUUGCAAUUGGAAUGAGAACAAUUUAAAAUCUUGAUUGAGUACCAAUUAGAGGGCAAGCCUGGUGCCAGCAGCCGCGGUAAUUCCAGCUCUAAUAGCGUAUAUUAAAGUUGUUGCAGUUGAAAAGCUCGUAGUUGAACUUUUGUUAGGUCCUCGACAGGUCCCUUUG